rnacentral:lncRNA from 1 species
ACAAAAGUAUUUCUAAUAUAAGCAUUCCUUUUACUUCAGAUUUUUUUGUCCAGAGAUCACAUCUUAGAAAGCUUUUAUCUCUAGGUCGAUAAUCUUUGUUACAUUCAGGAUAAAGUAAUUUCUUUAUAUUCUCUGUUUCUAUCUUUUAAGUUCUCUCUGAAUAUAUAAAAGGAUACUACUUACUCUACUACAGUAUUGUACAUAACCAUGCAUUCUUAACUAUCGCAUUUGAGUCAGUUAAGAAUGCAUAGUUCAUGAUUUAGUUUGAUAAAGAUUACUAGAGGGAAAAGUUUCGUGUUAUAUAUUAUUGUUUAAAUCAGAAAUUAUUUUCAUCUGUUCUCAUAAUCAGUAUCAUUUUCGCAUUUGGACCCGACAUCAUCGUAUAUCGAGGAUGUUUUAUAUACUCUGAAUGUCGAUAUGACUGCUUAAAUCGAUGGAGAAAAACGAACUUCUCUUUUAAGUGUGCGCUGUAUUUCAAUAAAUAAAAUUUGGAUAUCACUCAAAACAAAAUCCUGUGAAAGUAUCAUAUUAAAAUAUUCUGAUAUCCAGAAAGAAGUGAUGCCAAAAAAACUUGACGUAAAAAUCGUUAACUUUAUUGAAAUCAAACAUUUAUCACUGCUUGGCUUUAUAGUUUUUACAAUAUUUGACGGAAAAUUGAGAAUAAUUUUUACAGUCAAAAUAAAAAAAACGAUACAAACAUGGAACGGAAACUAUUCCAUUAUGAAUUAUAGUCACGCUAUCAAAUCUAAUAAAGCAGAAAGAGAUACAACAAAAUGAAUGAUAUGUGAUUAUAAUCUUAAUACCGCCUGACAUUUAUUCAUGGAUUUUUCUUUUUUACAAAGAUUAAUGAAGUUGAAAUAUAUCAAAAAAUUUAAAAAAUGCCUUGUUUUCACUACAUUCGAAGUAGCAAGUUUAAGAAAGUAGCAAAAAUUUUCCCUAGUUAGAGUACUGCAAAGAGUAAUCUCUAAGACUGAAAAGAUCUAAUUUAUUUUUUCUUAUAAGUGAUGUUAUAGUGCAGUGAUGUCAAACGUUUUUUCAUUAUGGCAAGCUAGUUUUCUAUAUUAAGUUAUUUGGCGAUCUAUUCUCUUAUAUAGAUCACGUUUCCCCCCAACUUGAUAUCUGAUUAUGCACAACUAUGCAGUUAAAUGCGCUCACUCACUUCGGAGGACCCAUUUUUCAAGCUCUAAAAACUUUGUCUAUUUAAAAAUUUAUUUAUCACUUUUAAUUAUUUUAAUUCAAUAAAUAAAACAAUUAUAUUGAAAUAAAA